GGGGGCUUGGGCUUGCGCCUUGGUCAUGUCAAGUCGAGCGAACAGAGAAGGAGCUUGCUCCUUUGACGUUAGCGGCGGAGGGUGAGUAACACGUGGGCAACCUACCAGAUAGUUUGGGAUAACUCCGGGAAACCGGGGCUAAUACCGAAUAAUCUGUUUCACCUCAUGGUGAAAUAUUGAAAGACGGUUUCGGCUGUCGCUAUAGGAUGGGCCCGCGGCGCAUUAGCUAGUUGGUGAGGUAACGGCUCACCAAGGCGACAAUGCGUAGCCAACCUGAGAGGGUGAUCGGCCACACUGGGACUGAGACACGGCCCAGACUCCUACGGGAGGCAGCAGUAGGGAAUCUUCCACAAUGGGCGAAAGCCUGAUGGAGCAACGCCGCGUGAGUGAAGAAGGAUUUCGGUUCGUAAAACUCUGUUGUAAGGGAAGAACAAGUACAGUAGUAACUGGCUGUACCUUGACGGUACCUUAUUAGAAAGCCACGGCUAACUACGUGCCAGCAGCCGCGGUAAUACGUAGGUGGCAAGCGUUGUCCGGAAUUAUGGGGCGUAAAGCGCGCGCAGGUGGUUUCUUAAGUCUGAUGUGAAAGCCCACGGCUCACCGUGGAGGGUCAUUGGAAACUGGGAGACUUGAGUGCAGAAAGGAUAGUGGAAUUCCAAGUGUAGCGUGAAAUGCGUAGAGAUUUGGAGGAACACCAGUGGCGAAGCUACUAUCUCGUCUGUAACUGACACUGAGGCGCGAAGCGUGGGGAGCAACACGAUUAGAUACCCUGGUGUCCACGCCCUAACAUAGUGCUAAUGUUAGGGGGUUUCCGCCCCUUAUGCUGCACUACGCAUAGCACUCCGCCUGGGGAGUACGGUCGCAGGACUGAACUCAAGGAUUGACGGCGCCCGCACAGCGGUGGAGCAGUGUUUAAUACGAAGCACGCGACAUCUUACCAGUCUCGACGUCCGUUACCACUGUGAGAUUUGUUCCCCUUCUGGGCGACGGUACCGUCGUG
rnacentral:rRNA from 1 species